CGAUUCUGGCUCAGGAUGAACGCUGGCGGCGUGCCUAACACAUGCAAGUCGAACGGAGAUUUAACGCUGAUGAGGCUUCGGCGGAAUCUUGUUAAAUCUUAGUGGCGGACGGGUGAGUAACGCGUGGGCAACCUGCCUCGUACUGGGGGAUAACAGUUGGGAACGACUGUUAAUACCGCAUAAGCGCACGGUAUCGCAUGAUACAGUGUGAAAAACUCCGGUGGUACGAGAUGGGCCCGCGUCAGAUUAGCCAGUUGGCGGGUAACGGCCCACCAAAGCGACGAUCUGUAGCCGGACUGAGAGGUCGGACGGCCACAUUGGGACUGAGACACGGCCCAAACUCCUACGGGAGGCAGCAGUGGGGGAUAUUGCACAAUGGGCGAAAGCCUGAUGCAGCGAUGCCCGCGUGAGUGAAGAAGUAUUUCGGUAUGUAAAGCUCUAUCAGCAGGGAAGAAAGGCCCUUCGGGGAGAUGACGGUACCUGACUAAGAAGCCCCGGCUAACUACGUGCCAGCCGCGGC
rnacentral:rRNA from 1 species